GCCAGACUCCUACGGGAGGCAGCAGUGGGGGAUAUUGCACAAUGGGGGAAACCCUGAUGCAGCGACGCCGCGUGUGGGAAGACGGUCCUCUGGAUUGUAAACCACUGUCCCCAGGGACGAAAAUGACGGUACCUGGGGAGGAAGCUCCGGCUAACUACGUGCCAGCAGCCGCGGUAAUACGUAGGGGGCAAGCGUUAUCCGGAUUUACUGGGUGUAAAGGGGGCGCAGACGGCAGCGCAAGCCAGGAGUGAAAGCCCGGGGCCCAACCCCGGGACUGCUCUUGGAACUGCGCGGCUGGAGUGCAGGAGGGGCAGGCGGAAUUCCUGGUGUAGCGGUGAAAUGCGUAGAUAUCAGGAGGAACACCGGUGGCGAAGGCGGCCUGCUGGACUGCGACUGACGUUGAGGCCCGAAAGCGUGGGGAGCAAACAGGAUUAGAUACCCGAGUA
rnacentral:rRNA from 1 species